rnacentral:lncRNA from 1 species
CCCCAACUCCCCUAGCGAGAGGGAGGGAGGGACUGAGGGAGGCCCCGGCGACGGCUGCUGGGGCUGGGAGUCAGCUGCUGUGGGACCGGUGUGCGCUGUGGCACCGCGGCCGAAAGUGGGCUCAGGCUUGCAGCGGCCACUGGCUGGUGUUGAGGCCAGCCCUGCGCGGCUGUGGAGCGGAGCCGGCGGUGACGCGGGCGGCGCCAGAUCUAGUGCCGGGCUCCCGGAGCGGGGAGGCGGGAGCCUGCCUGCCCGUGGCUGCAGACCCCGGCGCCUGCUGCAGCUGAGAGAGGGAUGCGUGCCCCCUAAGAUCCCCGGCAGCCGAACCCUAGCAAAGAGAAACGAGAAUGGAUGAAAGAUGGUGGGAAGGACAUCUGGCAUUAGAUAUCCACUGUACACUCAGAGAAAAGGAGCUGAAGCUGCCCGUUUACAAAGCCCAAUCCCCACUCCUUGAGAGCCGAAGGUAUUUUGUCGACUUAGUUUCUGUGCUCAGCAACCACUGCAAGAUCUGCCCCACGGCCAGACACCUGGCUGUCUACCUGCUGGACCUCUUCAUGGAUCGAUACAGUGUGACUGCAAAACAGCUGCAUAUCGUAGCCAUCGCCUGUCUUUUGCUAGCAAGCAAAUUUGAAGAGAAGGAGGACCGAGUGCCAAAACUGGAACAGAUGAACAGCUUGGGCCUCCUAUGCAGCCACCAACUGGUACUAAGUAAGAAGGAACUUCUGCAAACGGAGCUGCUCCUCCUGGAGGCUUUCGGCUGGAACCUAUGCAUGCCGACCCCAGCCCACUAUGUGGAUUACUACCUCUUAUUCUCACUCAGUGAGAAGGACCUCUGCAACAACCGGCCUAUCUUCUCUUUCUCAAAAACCAAAGGUUUCCUAGAGAAAUAUGUCCACUACUUUCUGGAAGUUUCAUUGCAAGAUCAUAUUUUUCACAACUUCCCACCAUCCAUGGUAGCUGCAGCUUGCAUUUGGGCCUCUAGGAUUUGCCUGCAGCUCUCCCCCACUUGGACCAGAGACUUGGAGAAAAUAUCACACUAUUCCAUGGAGCAGAUCAGUGCUUGCGUUAAAGUCAUGCUGUUGGCUUUUGACAAUGACUUCAAGGAUGCUAACAAAGUGAAGAACCCGCCACUGGCCUUGCAAUCCCACAUGUUGGUUCCAGGCACACAUCAGGCUCCUACCCAGGUGCUGUUCCAACAGCCGGCCUUCCACCAUCCAGUCCCCCAGCCAGCAGCCACGCUAUCCCACAUCCAGACCCCUGUGCAAGACUUGUGCUCGGCCUAUCGUGACACCCUGCAGCCCCACCAGUCUGGGGGCUUGCUGUCAGGAAGCACCGGUCCCUCUCUGUACCACCCUUAUUCUGCUCUCCAGCCUUCAGCAGUCCAGGCUAUUACCAUCCCAGGACCCCUCCCCAGGCAGAUAGGAGUAGAACCAAGACACUGCAUCUCUAUGGCUUACGGGAGUAGCUACUUCAGUGGACAUCACUCGUUCCCAGCUGGAUGUUUGACAGAUAAAGUAAAGCCAUCCUAA